GAAAAUGCAAUAAAUAGAACAGAUACAGUGACCCAUUUAAGGCUGCACAGUGCUUUUGGCCAACAAUGUGUCGUGCAACCAAGGAUCACAGCGGACACAAUGCUGCAAUGCAUUGAGUUAAAAU